CCCAAAUUGUCCUAAUUUGAUAUCUUUACCGGAGUGGAUAGGAAGCCUAACUUCAUUACAAGCUUUUGGGAUUCAUGAAUGUCCUCAACUGCCAGAAAGAUGCAAAAACAAAAUGGGUGCUGAUUGGCCCAAGAUUGCUCACAUACCAAAUAUUGAUAUUGAGGGAAGAUCGAUUCAAGUGGAUGGCAGAUACAAACUAUAAUCAGAAGAAUCAGACUUUUCUUGGGAGGUGGAAAAUUUAUUUGUUCUGAAAACAAAAUGAAAUUCAACUUUUCACACUUAUUCAAAUCUUACUUAUUCCUUCCAUUCAAUUGUGUGGAAAAGAAAAUGACAAUCUAAAGCAUUUGCACCAAAUUGAGGUCUAAUCUCCAGGCAUGUGAUCUGGAAGAAUUGUUUGGAACUUUUGCCACCAGAUGCAUGUUCCGAGUGUUCAGUGCUUCAGGUUGGGUCAAGAUUGCAGUUGAAGAUCAAAUCUAAUAAGAAUUAUAUUUUAAGUAGGUAUUCCAUUCUUUUUGUCUUGUCAUAUUUAGCUUUCCUAUAUUACAUUAAGUAACAGAAGCUCUACCAAAGUAUUCUCACCUCUUACAAAUUGGUAUCAAGGUGUUCUCAGUCUCAUUUCUGACUUUAAAGAUCUCGGUCACGAUGUGUUCUGUGAAUUUAUACUAUUGGGCAGUACUAAAUCAAACAUGAUUUGCAAUCAAUCAUAUGAACGGAGGAACUUUGGCUACUGUUUAUCCUUUUAACGGUAGUUUGAGGCUGUUCUGCUGAUAUUGCGACUCAGUAGAUUGAAGCAUUCCCAUGUAAUUUUAAGUGAGCUAUGGAAUUUCAAAUAAGCAUUCUGCAAAUAUGGUCUUCAAUUUCAGAGUUUGGAAAAUGAUAAUGGUUCUAUCUUGUUGAAAGAAGCCAGAAAAGAGCAAUUGUGAAUUGGCCUUGCAAUGAUUAGAGAACACAAGGGAUAGCCCAAGGAUGCUCACCUCCCAGAGGUUGCAUUGGGCAUAAAAAGAAAACAUCCUGCAGUUCACUGCUUUACAGUUACAUGAAAACAAAUCUUAUCUCUUGCCUAUGGUUCUGUUUUGGAGAUUUUGAAGCCCGGAAUCCAUAAUUUUCCCCCUCUUGAACUGAUUGGCAUUUUAAGUGGCAAUAUGUUCUGUGAAUUUAUUAGCCUGCAAAGAAAUUGAAGCAUUCCCAUAUAAGCUUGUGUGAGCUUUGGAGUGUCAAAUGAGCAUUCUGCAAUGCUUGCUUCUUCAGUUUUAGACUUUGGAAAUUGAUGAUGGUUGGUUCUGUCUUUUUGAAAGAUGCCAGAGACGAGCAAUUGUGAAUUGGCCUCUCAUGUGCCACUAAGUGCUAGUUUAUUGCUAUGACUGCAUGAAAAAUUAAGGGGCCAUUGCCUAUCUGGUGGACAACUGAUCACCGAACUUAUCAGCAAUCAUUUGCUAAAGGAUCUAGAAUUUCUGCUAGAGAACUUGCUGCAAAACCUCACUUCACUUCAAUGCCAUAAUAUUUGGGAUUUCCACAAGUAACAACCUUGUCUUCUGAUAUACGGCAUUGAGAAGUGGAAAAAUCGUUGGUUCUGAAAAGAGAGAGAGAGAGAGAGAGAGAGAGAGAGAGAGAGAGAGAGAGAUUCAACACUUCAUAUUGCUUCAAAUCUAACUUGUUCCUUGCACCAGUUGAGUGGAAAACAAAAUGAAAAUCAGUAGUUUCUUUGAGAAGAUGUAAAGCAUUUGCCCAAAAUUGAGAAUUGUUUGGAACUUUUGUCACCAAAUGCAUGUUCUGAGGGAGAUCUAGAGUGUUUGGGACUUAAGGUUGUUGAAGAUCAAAUCUAAUAGGAAUAAGAUUUUAUGCUGUUUUACUGAUAUUGUGAAUCAGUAGAUUGAAGCAUUUCCAUGUAUUUUUAAUUGAGCUAUGGAAUUUCAAAUAAGCAUUCUGCAAUUAUUGUCUCCAAUUUCAGAGUUUGGAAACCGAUAAUGGUCGUCUUGUUGAAAGAUGCCGGAGAAGAACAGCUAUGAAUUGGUCUCUCUUGCUCAAGAAAGUGUUUUUUUUGUCUGGUACAUCGUGCAAAAUUUUCAGCCUUUAUGGACCCAAUUUCAGUUUAGACUUCAAAGGAGAACUUGUGGGCACAACAAUCAUGCAGAACUACAUGUUUUAACUGGAGAUGCCACUGUGAAGAGGUCCCAUAAUCCCUUGUAGUUUUAGCUUCUACACUUUGCAAGAGACUUGGUUUUCUAUGCAGAAACUGACAAGCUGGUAAUUGCCUCAGUUAAUAAAAUGAUGAACCUCCCUAUAUUCAAAUUUUAAACUGAAGCAUUGUUUGUUGUUCUCAAAAUGAAAUGCUGUGGCUGUCUCUAAGUGUAAUCUUCUUGUUCAUUGUGAAUUUGAUGUCAUUACCUCAAUGGAUGCCCAAACUCACCUCAAAGCAGUUGUUUAUAGAUGUUGAUGUUGACAAUUGGAUGGGAAUCAUUGUGAUGAAGGUCAUUUUCAUCUAUCAACUCUCUUCAUCUCAUUCCUUUAGAAACUGCUGAUUGCAAGGAUUUUCAUAUGUACAAUAAUGAAUGGCUGUGGAUGAACUUCAACUUGCCGCCACAUUUUAACAACUUGGGACUGUAGAAUUUCUUUAUUGAUGGCUUCUUCAGAUAAGGCACAACUUCCAAUUUUCUCCAACCAGUUAAGAGGAGAUAACAGGGUGAAUUAUGCUUCUGUGGAAAAUGAUUUCUAACUAAUAACCCUUAAAAUUGGGAUCAGUCUGACUGACUACUUGAGGAGACAACAUCGAAACAAACUUGUUGCCAAAUUUUCUGAAACCAACUUUCUUCUUAUGUCAUUCACAAGUGAAACUAUAAAAUUUAUUGUUGCACUGAUUAUAUGCCUUUGCAAGUGUGAUUUAUAAGUUUCUUUUUCAUGUGAAAUAAGGUUAAUGUGUGUCCACAUUUUUAUGUAGUGAGAGAAAAGCACAUCCAUCAGUCAUAGCAAUUCUUGCACAUGCAAAUAGUUGUCAAAUUCCAUCUCUUGUACAAAUGUUAGGUGUGUUCCACAAUACCCUUCAUUGUCUCGCUCCUCCAAAGGUUGAGAUUAUGUUUUGGUUGGCGUGCCUUGGCAGAUUGGUCUCAAAAGAAUGGUUAUGUAGGCUCAAUAUUAUCCCAGCAUCCGAGAUUCUUUGUCCCCGUUGUAGUGAUGCCAUUAAAUCAGUCACUCAUAUCUUUUUGGGGUACAAAACUUCAUGAGAGGUGUGGUCUUGGUUCUUUAAUUGGUAGGGAAUUUAUUUGUGUAUUCGUAAUUCUGUUUCUUUGUUGCUGCUAAAAUGGAAAAUUUUGGCUCAUGGGAAGUUUCAGGUCAAAUUCUGGUACACUUUAUUUUUCUCAAUUAUGUGGUCCAUCUGGCUUAUGAGAAAUGAAGGAAUUUUCUCGGGUGAGGAGGUGUCAUUGCUCUCUCUGUGUUCUCUUAUUCUCCAUCGAGUAGCCAUCUGGCUCAAGGCAAUGGAAGCUAGCUUCCCAUACUCUGGUUUGGAUCUGCUGUCUUCAGUCUCUUCCAUCAAAGCAUCAACCUGUAUCUUCCUGGACCCCUCCGCCUCUAAAUCAGCUCAAGUUGAACGUUGAAGGUUCCUCCCUAGGCAUGCCCGGCCCUAGUGCUGUUGGUGGAGUUUUGAGAGGUUCAUAUGGUAAACCUUCUCUGCUUGUUCUCCUGCCCAUCUAGGAUUGAUGAUUCAAAUGCCGCAAGAGGCAAAGGCCAUUCAAAAAGUGUUUGUUGUCUGUUUCUCCCCCCUCUUUACCCUGCCAAUGCUGUCAGUAUCCUUGUUGAGACUGACCCUAAGAUCGCUGUGUCUUGGGUGAAUAACGAAGACAGUACUUCUUGGUGUGUGUGUCUCCUCGGUGCUGCACCCUAUUAGCUGCAACCUAAAGCGCCUCCCUAAUGCCGUGGUGAGUCAUUCUCAUAGAGAAGUGAAUUGCUUCGCUGACACUUGCAAUACAGGGAUUGUACCGCAAUUGUAUUUGUUAGCUUUCUUAUAAUUGCUUUGUGUCGGCUUUUGUUGACAUGGGUAGAACGUCUUGCUUCAUUAGGUUGGGUGUAAGGGGUAUGCCUGCUGGCAUGGGUUUAGUUGGAAGCAUCCUUCUAUCCUUUUCUUUUAUCAUUAAUAAAUAGCAUAUUAACCCUUUUUUGAGAAA